CUGUGCCGGAGUUAACGCAAUAAGUAUCCCGCCUGGGGAGUACGGCCGCAAGGCUGAAACUCAAAGGAAUUGACGGGGCCCGCACAAGCGGUGGAGUAUGUGGUUUAAUUCGACGCAACGCGAAGAACCUUACCAAGCCUUGACAUUCAGGUGGUGCACGGCUGUCGUCAGCUCGUGUCGUGAGAUGUUGGGUUAAGUCCCGCAACGAGCGCAACCCCUAUCUUCUGUUACGACUCAGGAGAGACUGCCGCAGACAAUGCGGAGGAAGGCGGGGAUGACGUCAAGUCAUCAUGCCCCUUAUGGCUUGGGCUACACACGUACUACAAUGGCUCUUAUAGAGGGAGGCGAGGAGCGAUCCGGAGCAAACCCCAAAAACAGAGUCCCAGUUCGGAUUGCAGGCUGCAACCCGCCUGCAUGAAGCAGGAAUCGCUAGUAAUCGCAGGUCAGCAUACUGCGGUGAAUACGUUCCCGGGCCUUGUACACACCGCCCGUCACACCACGAAAGUCAUUCACACCCGAAGCCGGCGUCGAAGGUGGGGGCGAUGAUUGGGGUGAGUGUAACAAGGAACCGAGGG
rnacentral:rRNA from 1 species